UUGAUCCUGCCGGACCCGACUGCUAUCAGAAUAGGACUAAGCCAUGCGAGUCAACGUAGCAGUACGUGGCAUACGGCUCAGUAACACGUAGUCAACAUGCCCAGGGGACGUGGAUAACCUCGGGAAACUGAGGAUAAACCACGAUAGGUCAUAAUAUCUGGAAUGAUUUAUGGCUAAAAUCUACAUGGCCCCUGGAUUGGACUGCGGCCGAUCAGGCUGUUGGUGAGGUAAUGGCCCACCAAACCUAAAACCGGUACGGGCUCUGAGAGAAGGAGCCCGGAGAUGGGCACUGAGACAAGGGCCCAGGCCCUAUGGGGCGCAGCAGGCGCGAAACCUCUGCAAUAGGCGAAAGCUUGACAGGGUUACUCUGAGUGAUGCCCGCUAAGGGUAUCUUUUGGCACCUCUAAAAAUGGUGCAGAAUAAGGGGUGGGCAAGUCUGGUGUCAGCCGCCGCGGUAAUACCAGCACCCCGAGUUGUCGGGACGAUUAUUGGGCCUAAAGCAUCCGUAGCCUGUUCUGCAAGUCCUCCGUUAAAUCCACCUGCUUAACGGAUGGGCUGCGGGGGAUACUGCAGAGCUAGGAGGCGGGAGAGGCAAACGGUACUCAGUGGGUAGGGGUAAAAUCCUUUGAUCUACUGAAGACCACCAGUGGCGAAGGCGGUUUGCCAGAACGCGCUCGACGGUGAGGGAUGAAAGCUGGGGGAGCAAACCGGAUUAGAUACC
rnacentral:rRNA from 1 species